CACUCCUGCGGGAGGCAGCAGUGGGGAAUAUUGCACAAUGGGCGCAAGCCUGAUGCAGCCAUGCCGCGUGUAUGAAGAAGGCCUUCGGGUUGUAAAGUACUUUCAGCGGGGAGGAAGGCGAUAAGGUUAAUAACCUUGUCGAUUGACGUUACCCGCAGAAGAAGCACCGGCUAACUCCGUGCCAGCAGCCGCGGUAAUACGGAGGGUGCAAGCGUUAAUCGGAAUUACUUGGCGUAAAGCGCACGCAGGCGGUCUGUCAAGUCGGAUGUGAAAUCCCCGGGCUCAACCUGGGAACUGCAUUCGAAACUGGCAGGCUAGAGUCUUGUAGAGGGGGGUAGAAUUCCAGGUGUAGCGGUGAAAUGCGUAGAGAUCUGGAGGAAUACCGGUGGCGAAGGCGGCCCCCUGGACAAAGACUGACGCUCAGGUGCGAAAGCGUGGGGAGCAAACAGGAUUAGAAACCCUUGUAGUCCCAUGAU
rnacentral:rRNA from 1 species